GACGAACGCUGGCGGCGUGCUUAACACAUGCAAGUGGAGCGACGAACCAGGCUUCGGCCUGGGGCAAAGCCGCGAACGGGUGAGUAACACGUGGGUAACCUGCCCCGACGAUCGGGACAACCCGGGGAAACUCGGGCUAAUACCGAAUAUGCUCGUCCCACACCAGUGGGACGUGUAAAGGAAGCUUCGGCCUCCGCAUCGGGAUGGGCCCGCGGCCCAUUAGCUUGUUGGUGAGGUAACGGCUCACCAAGGCUGCGAUGGGUAGCUGGUCUGAGAGGACGAUCAGCCACACUGGGACUGAGACACGGCCCAGACUCCUACGGGAGGCAGCAGUGGGGAAUCUUGCGCAAUGCGCGAAAGCGUGACGCGGCAACGCCGCGUGGGGAAGAAGGCCUCGGUGUAACCC
rnacentral:rRNA from 1 species